GACGAACGCUGGCGGCGUGCUUAACACAUGCAAGUCGAGCGGAAAGGCCCUGCUUUUGUGGGGUGCUCGAGUGGCGAACGGGUGAGUAACACGUGAGUAACCUGCCCUUGACUUUGGGAUAACUUCAGGAAACUGGGGCUAAUACCGGAUAGGAGCUCCUGCUGCAUGGUGGGGGUUGGAAAGUUUCGGCGGUCGGGGAUGGACUCGCGGCUUAUCAGCUUGUUGGUGGGGUAGUGGCUUACCAAGGCUUUGACGGGUAGCCGGCCUGAGAGGGUGACCGGCCACAUUGGGACUGAGAUACGGCCCAGACUCCUACGGGAGGCAGCAGUGGGGAAUAUUGCACAAUGGGCGGAAGCCUGAUGCAGCAACGCCGCGUGCGGGAUGACGGCCUUCGGGUUGUAAACCGCUUUCGCCUGUGACGAAGCGUGAGUGACGGUAAUGGGUAAAGAAGCACCGGCUAACUACGUG
rnacentral:rRNA from 1 species